rnacentral:rRNA from 1 species
CCUACGGGGGGCUGCAGUGAGGAAUAUUGGUCAAUGGGCGAGAGCCUGAACCAGCCAAGUCGCGUGAGGGAGUACUGCCCUAUGGGUUGUAAACCUCCUUUGUCGGGGAGCAAAAGCCGGACGUGUCCGGCUGUGAGAGUACCCGAAGAAAAAGCAUCGGCUAACUCCGUGCCAGCAGCCGCGGUAAUACGGAGGAUGGGAGCGUUAUCCGGAUUUAUUGGGUUUAAAGGGUGCGCAGGCGGAUUUUUAAGUCAGCGGUAAAAUCGUGGGGCUCAACCCCAUCCAGCCGUUGAAACUGGGGAUCUAGAGUGUGCGAGAGGUAUGCGGAAUGCGUGGUGUAGCGGUGAAAUGCAUAGAUAUCACGCAGAACCCCGAUUGCGAAGGCAGCAUACCGGUGCACAACUGACGCUCAGGCACGAAAGCGUGGGUAUCGAACAGGAUUAGAUACCCUUGUAGUC